rfam:Oryza nivara chromosome 5, whole genome shotgun sequence.
UUAAAGUAUAGUUGUAGAUUUCUGUGUCCAACAUUUUACCAUCCAUUUUAUUUAAAAAUUUCUAUGAUUAAUAUUUUUUUUCUAUUAGAUGAUAAAAUAUAAAUAGUAUUUUAUGUAUGGCUUAUUUUUUUUAUAAAAAGUUUUAAAUAAGAUGACAACCAAAUGUUGAACAUAAAUACCUACCGCUACGUUUAAA